GCUCCCGUAGCUCAGCUGGUUAGAGCGUGGUACUUAUAUGCUGAAAGGCUGUACAAAAGAAUUGGGCAUAACGCUAGGAUAUGCCAAGGCCGCGAGUUCGAAUCUCGCCGGGAGCA
rnacentral:tRNA from 1 species